GAUGAACGCUGGCGGCGUGCCUAAUACAUGCAAGUCGAGCGAACGGACGAGAAGCUUGCUUCUCUGAUGUUAGCGGCGGACGGGUGAGUAACACGUGGAUAACCUACCUAUAAGACUGGGAUAACUUCGGGAAACCGGAGCUAAUACCGGAUAAUAUUUUGAACCGCAUGGUUCAAAAGUGAAAGACGGUCUUGCUGUCACUUAUAGAUGUAUCCGCGCUGCAUUAGCUAGUUGGUAAGGUAACGGCUUACCAAGGCAACGAUGCAUAGCCGACCUGAGAGGGUGAUCGGCCACACUGGAACUGAGACACGGUCCAGACUCCUACGGGAGGCAGCAGUAGGGAAUCUUCCGCAAUGGGCGAAAGCCUGACGGAGCAACGCCGCGUGAGUGAUGAAGGCCUUCGGAUCGUAAAACUCUGUUAUUAGGGAAGAACAUAUGUGUAAGUAACUGUGCACAUCUUGACGGUACCUAAUCAGAAAGCCACGGCUAACUACGUG
rnacentral:rRNA from 1 species